UACACGUGGAUAUUUCUGAAGAAUUUUGCUUUUGACAGCUCACUGAGAUGAAUCAGACCUAUACAAGUAUCCAGAUCCUUGCCAAAGGUUUUGACAAGUGUAUUUAUAACUAUUCUGUAUAAAGAAAAUAAAGAAAAUAGAGUCACAACCUGACUUCAGACAUCUUUAUCCACACAUCACUUUAAUAAGGAGCCAUCAUUUAACUGACAGUGCUGGUAGGAUGACUUCAUAGUGUGAUCAUUCAUCAGGCAAACAAAGCAUUCUUUAAAGGCUCUGCUUUUUUCUUGUUAUAAAAGGGCAGCCCUGCAGAUAAAUGCAUACAAACUUACUCUUGAAAAAUCAACAGUAAAUGUAACUUUUAUGUUCUAAUUCCAGUGAAAUUAGAAUGCCAAAGCUACUUGACAGCCAGCCUCCUAUACAGACUGAGUCUACCAGCAGAAUACAACGCCGAGCAGUGGUGUCAUGUUAGCAUUUAUAGCCUGAAGCCAUUUCCUCCAGCUUCACUUUAUGAUCAUCGGUUAUCCUCAGACUGCAAGGGAUUCAGCUGACUCUAUUCCUCUAGUGAUGGCUAUUCAACUUGUUUCACAUUGGGCACGAAGUAUUGCUGCAACCUCAGGAGACAGAAUAGGAAGGUGCUCCAAUAAUACACUGAAGGUACCGCAAGACUGAAAAAUCCAACCUGCUAUUUCACUGGAAGAAAUUACUGCAUAACUGUUUGCUAAAAAUAGAAUUAAGGUGAAACAGGAAGAGUUUCCAACACUAAUGUUGAAGUCUGCGUUGUAUUAUCAAGUGUACCUUCUUAAAAUUCUCAUUAAACCGAUUCUAUUUCAGAUACUGCAUGCUCUAGCUGUGAUAGCAAAAUUUAUUUUUCCUCAUAUUUAAUAUGAUUUGAAAAAUUUAGCUUUGGUUCAGAGUCCUCAAGGAAAGGUGCUGCUCAUCUUGUUCCAAAUUUGCUCUGAAAUUUCUCAAACUUGUUCUGUCUAAAAGCAGCUCAUCUUAGAAACUGAAGGUUAUUUGAAGGAAAAAAAAAAA
rnacentral:lncRNA from 1 species